UACGUAGGGGGCAAGCGUUGUCCGGAAUCAUUGGGCGUAAAGCGCGCGUAGGCGGCCCGGUAAGUCCGUUGUGAAAGUCAAAGGCUCAACCUUUGAACGCCGAUGGAUACUGCCGGGCUAGAGUCCGGAAGAGGCGAGUGGAAUUCCUGGUGUAGCGGUGGAAUGCGCAGAUAUCAGGAGGAACACCGGUGGCGAAGGCGGGUCUCUGGGCAGUAACUGACGCUGAGGAGCGAAAGCGUGGGGAGCGAACAGG
rnacentral:rRNA from 1 species